rnacentral:rRNA from 1 species
GAUGAACGCUGGCGGCGUGCCUAAUACAUGCAAGUCGAGCGAACAGACGAGGAGCUUGCUCCUUUGACGUUAGCGGCGGACGGGUGAGUAACACGUGGGUAACCUACCUAUAAGACUGGGAUAACUUCGGGAAACCGGAGCUAAUACCGGAUAAUAUUUCGAACCGCAUGGUUCGAUAGUGAAAGAUGGCUCUGCUAUCACUUAUAGAUGGACCUGCGCCGUAUUAGCUAGUUGGUAAGGUAACGGCUUACCAAGGCAACGAUACGUAGCCGACCUGAGAGGGGGAUCGGCCACACUGGAACUGAGACACGGUCCAGACUCCUACGGGAGGCAGCAGUAGGAAUCUUCCGCAAUGGGCGAAAGCCUGACGGAGCAACGCCGCGUGAGUGAUGAAGGUCUUCGGAUCGUAAAACUCUGUUAUUAGGGAAGAACAAACGUGUAAGUAACUGUGCACGUCUUGACGGUACCUAAUCAGAAAGCCACGGCUAACUACGUG